CCUACGGGGGGCUGCAGUGAGGAAUAUUGGUCAAUGGACGCAAGUCUGAACCAGCCAUGCCGCGUGCAGGAUGACGGUCCUAUGGAUUGUAAACUGCUUUUGCACAGGAAGAAACAACAUUACGUGUAAUGUCUUGACGGUACUGUGAGAAUAAGGAUCGGCUAACUCCGUGCCAGCAGCCGCGGUAAUACGGAGGAUCCAAGCGUUAUCCGGAAUCAUUGGGUUUAAAGGGUCCGUAGGCGGUUUAGUAAGUCAGUGGUGAAAGCCCAUCGCUCAACGGUGGAACGGCCAUUGAUACUGCUGAACUUGAAUUAUUAGGAAGUAACUAGAAUAUGUAGUGUAGCGGUGAAAUGCUUAGAGAUUACAUGGAAUACCAAUUGCGAAGGCAGGUUACUACUAAUUUAUUGACGCUGAUGGACGAAAGCGUGGGUAGCGAACAGGAUUAGAUACCCCUGUAGUC
rnacentral:rRNA from 1 species